GGGGGUGACCUGGUUUCGACGGGGAUUGGAAGCAAAGGUGGCAUGCCGGGGACGCCAGUUGGCCUCGUUAAAAAACUGG
rnacentral:tmRNA from 1 species